rnacentral:rRNA from 1 species
UACAGAGGUCUCAAGCGUUGUUCGGAUUCAUUGGGCGUAAAGGGUGCGUAGGUGGUGGGGUAAGUCGGAUGUGAAAUCUCCGAGCUCAACUCGGAAAUGGCAUUGGAAACUACCCUGCUAGAGGGUCGGAGGGGGGACUGGAAUACUUGGUGUAGCAGUGAAAUGCGUAGAUAUCAAGUGGAACACCAGUGGCGAAGGCGAGUCCCUGGACGACUCCUGACACUGAGGCACGAAAGCUAGGGGAGCAAACAGG